GGAAGGUGGUGCGCGGUGGUGCGCAACCGGUCUCGAAAACCGGGCCGGGCUCACGCCCGAGGGUUCGACUCCUUCACCUUCCUCCA
rnacentral:sRNA from 1 species